CAUACCAUUUGCCUUCAUCACACGUGUAGUUUGCUAGCUGACUUUCAACAUGAGACUGUAUACGAUCCUAGUUUUUAUAUCUUUGAUCGUCUCCGCUAUAUGCGUGACUGGCAGGGAUCUUCUCAGCGCACAGUUUCCACAUGAAAAACCGAAAACCCCUAUCACAAAAACGAAUUCAAAACUUGGGGCGAUGUUUCCAAGCCAUGGUGGGAGACAGUAGAUCACUCCUAAUCAAUCAGGGUGUAUUUUAUGUACUUCAUGUAAAAAAAUAUACUUGUUGAGACAAAUUA